rnacentral:tRNA from 1 species
UUUUAUAUAGUUUAAUUUUAUAAAACAUUAUAUUUUCAUUAUAAAAAUAAUAAUAAAAA